GCUGGGAGUUGUGGCGUGCUCCUGUAAUCCAGCUACUCGGAAGCUUGGUUGGUUGGCCGGUUUGAGGAUGGGAGUUCUGGUAGUCGGUCUUCUAUGGCGAUCGGGUGUCCGCGCUAAGCUCGGCAUCAAUAUGGUGCUGGAGAGGGAGCUCAUCAGGACCAGGUUGUCUAAGGAGGGUCGCUUCGGCCCAGGGCGGAAACGCAGCAGGCAAAAGGCCCCGUGUCGAGCAGUAGUGGGAUCGUGCCUGUGAAUAGUUGUCGGUUGGCAGCCUGUUCGAUACAACUGAACACCAAUCUUU
rfam:Octopus bimaculoides Scaffold51817_contig_30, whole genome shotgun sequence.